GAUGAACGCUAGCUACAGGCUUAACACAUGCAAGUCGAGGGGUAACGAGAGGAAAGCUUGCUUUCCUUGUCGACGACCGGCGCACGGGUGAGUAACGCGUAUCCAACCUGCCCCCAACUAAGGAAUAACCUUGCGAAAGUAAGACUAAUACCUUAUAAUUUCCUCAGAUGUCAUCUGACGAGGAAUAAAGAUUUAUUGGUUGUGGAUGGGGAUGCGUCUGAUUAGCUUGUUGGGGGGGUAACGGCCCACCAAGGCAACGAUCAGUAGGGGUUCUGAGAGGAAGGUCCCCCACAUUGGACCUGAGACACGGUCCAAACGCCUACGGGAGGCAGCAGUGAGGAAUAUUGGUCAAUGGGCGGAAGCCUGAACCAGCCAAGUAGCGUGCAGGAUGACGGCCCUAUGGGUUGUAAACUGCUUUUAUACAGGAAUAAAGUUAGCCACGUGUGGUUAUUUGUAGGUACUGUAUGAAUAAGGACCGGCUAAUUCCGUGCCAGCCGCCGCGGUAA
rnacentral:rRNA from 1 species